rnacentral:tRNA from 1 species
ACUAUUUUGGCAGAUUAUAUGCGUUAGACUUAGGAUCUAAUAAUAUAGAAUUACUUCUAUAAUUAGUA